UAGAGAGAGACAUGCGCGCAUAUCAAUAAGCGGAGGAAAAGAAAACUAACAAGGAUUCCCUUAGUAACGGCGAGUGAAGCGGGAAGAGCUCAAAUUUGAAAUCUUCAAGGUUUUUACCUUGACGAAUUGUAGUUUAAAGAAGUGUUUUUCUGCUGAAGUUUUUGGUAAAAGUUCUUUGGAAUAGGACAUCAUAGAGGGUGAGAAUCCCGUAUUUGACCAUUAUUUUCAGCUUUGUGAUACACUUUCAAAGAGUCGGAUUGUUUUGGGAAUGCAGUCCAAAAUGGGUGGUAAAUUUCAUCUAAAGCUAAAUAUUGGCGAGAGGACCGAUAGCGAACAAGUACCGUGAGGGAAAGAUGAAAAGAACUUUGAAAAGAGAGUUAAACAGUACGUGAAAUUGUCCAAAAGGGAAGCGUUUUGACACCAGUGUUGUUUUCUCGAAAAGUCAAUUAAAAAAUGGCUCGAUUUUGUAUUGCUUGAGACCUUAAAAAGCUCACUGUACAUUUUUUCGUGUCUUUUUUUAAUGCACUUUUUCGUUUAACAAGUCAACAUCAGUUUUCUUUUGUUGUAAAAAGGGUCAUUGGAAGGUGGCUUUUCUUUUCGGAGAAAGUGUUUUAUAGCCUUUGGCCUCUGCAAUCGGAGAGGACUGAGGUCUGCAGCGUAGACUCUUCGGGGUUAGAUACAUUUGUGCUAAGUUAUAGCUUUUUUAUAGACAACUUGUUGACUAUAAUUAGUCUUGUAGCUUACUCGCUUAUGCUAUUUUACCUACGCUUAGGAUGUUGAGUCGUAGAGCACGCAG
rnacentral:rRNA from 1 species